UUAUCCUAGAGACAUUUGUCCUACUAGGACAUUUUAAGGGUCAUGAUUCAUUUGUAUAUUUACAUGGAUAGCUCAGAUAACCCCUUAAAUUUAUAUCAAUCCUAAAUAUAUAUCUUCCCGCCCAAACAUUAAGCCUCCUCCUUACCCACGUCUCCCCUACCGUUCUCUGCUCUCCAGCCAAAUCACGUCUCUCCUCCAUCCCUCUAUCUUCCCGCCUCCUGCUUACCCACGUCUACCCCACCCUUCUAUCUUUAUCUCUCUGAUCUCCAGCCAAAUCACGUCUCCCCUCCAUCCCUCUCUAUCUCUCUCUCUCUCUCUCUCUCUGUUCUUCUUCUUCCUGAAACUGCUAUCCUUCAACCACAGAUUCGGUUUCAUCUCCAGCAGUUUGGGCACAGGAAGGGGGACAUCCUAAAGCUCAGCUUCGCCUUGGAGUUUCCGACUUCCUCUGCUUCUCAACCGCUCAGGCCUUUUCUUCUUCGGUAUUUUCUGAUCGCAAGGGUUAGAGAUGAUGGUUGAAGAUGGAAGGUCAUAGGGGAUUAAUGUUUUAGCAAAGCUUAUUAUUCUUUCGUAGGAGGUGGAUGAGAAAGUAAUUUCCUUGGAGGAGCAUCUGAAGACCAGGAGUCAUGACAAAAAUGUCCCCUUCAUUUAGACCACAACAUUGGUCAAUUCUUAUUUUCAUUUAGUCAGAAAAAUAUGAGGCAUGGGAAUCACAAAUCAUUUUCUUAUGCCCUAUUUGGUGGUUGGGGACUCAUGGAGCAUGUUGUUUUAUAUUUUUGGAGAUGUAGCAUAAACAUGGAUGCAGGACCCAACACAACAUGACAUGACUAUAAUAACACGACAAGUCCUUAAAAAACCAGGAUACAAAUACAAUUAUAAUAGCAAAGCUCCAGAAAUGUCAUGUAGAUAAUGGAUACAACAACUGUUUCUUUCUUAUUGUAUGUCCCAUCCCCCCACCCCAACACACACACACACACACACACAUUGAAGUGUGUACAGCUUGCUUUACUUCUUUACUUUAUGUUGGUCAUAUCAUAUGUAUACAAUGUUCUUUUAGAGAUUGAUGCUGGGCAAGACUUAUACAAUUAACUAAAAACGUGGGUUCGGGAUUUAACCGUGUAGAUUUAUGAUUGUAAGGUAAACUUGGUGUAAAGGUGAGAUAUAUGGGUCAGAGGUUUUUAAGUAUUAGAUCCAAGCUUUGGUCUUUGUAUAAUAAAUUACGUAAGAUUGUAAAUACAUCAAUUUCCCAUUGCACAGAAGGUGAAAUAUUGAAAUCUUAUAAACUCUUAGAGCUGGUCA